AAAGUCGUAACAAGGUUUCCGUAGGUGAACCUGCGGAAGGAUCAUUACCAGUGCCGCCGGCGCCGCCUGGACCCUCCGGGGUUUCCAGGCGUGCGUCGGUCUGAGCCCCACCCGUGAACACUGAACCUCAAGUUGCCUUGGCGGGCCCGCCGCGAAAUGCGGCCGCCGGGGGUGCCGGGGGGCGCCUCUAAGCGUCCCCCGGUCCCGGGCCUGUGCCCGCCGAUGGAAGAGUGAACUUCUGAUAGAAUGGACCGUCUGAGUGAUUUGUAAAUCAUUAAAACUUUCAACAACGGAUCUCUUGGUUCCG
rnacentral:misc_RNA from 1 species